UCUGGGGCUACUUACUUUUUUGUUCCUCAUGUUGCUUCCUUCAGGUCUUCUCAUCUUCGUGCGUAAUCUGUCUGCCCUUUUGUUCCGCUAUAUGUGUUGUUCUUUGGUGCUCCCAUUUUGUUUCUUCUCAUGAGCAGCCACAAGUCUCCUCGAGGUAGCCAUAUAUGAAUAGUCCUGCGCCAUCACAAACAAAAAGGCAACUACUGUUAGAAGAUGGGACGCCUCUGCACAGCUCUGCAACAGCUGUUGCGACUGACCCUCCAAGUGGAUCCAUAUCACUUGAUCAUGGUGCCAUCUCCGACGCAAAUGAUCCAGUAACCAAACGCCAUCGUCCUUUUAAACACGUUAGUGAUUGGGUAAUUUUGCUUUUAAUUAUCUUCAUCAAACCUGCUGUGAUGGUUCUCUGAUAACACAAACGAAGACUUUUGCCUUCCUAACUCUUUCAUGCAAUGGCCUUUGAUAGAUUUUUCACCAACAGUUUUGCCUACACAUGUCUUUAUAAUGUUUGAUUUCUUCAUCCAAUCCCUCAAAUCAGCAUGAACACGAGCUCAAAUCCAUGUUUUCAAAUAUGUUAGAGAUGCCAGCUAAAUUCAUUCACCAGGUUAACAUGUGUGCAAGCCUAAUAUUUCCUCUGUCUAUAAACAAUGCCUAUAUGGUUUUCCAUAUUUUCCACCGCUCCGCAGCAAAGCU